rnacentral:rRNA from 2 species
GGUUAAGCGACUAAGCGUACACGGUGGAUGCCCUGGCAGUCAGAGGCGAUGAAGGACGUGCUAAUCUGCGAUAAGCGCCGGUAAGGUGAUAUGAACCGUUAUAACCGGCGAUUUCCGAAUGGGGAAACCCAGUGUGACUCGUCACACUAUCAUUAACUGAAUCCAUAGGUUAAUGAGGCGAACCGGGGGAACUGAAACAUCUAAGUACCCCGAGGAAAAGAAAUCAACCGAGAUUCCCCCAGUAGCGGCGAGCGAACGGGGAGGAGCCCAGAGCCUGAAUCAGCAUGUGUGUUAGUGGAAGCGUCUGGAAAGGCGCGCGAUACAGGGUGACAGCCCCGUACACAAAAGCGCAUGUGCUGUGAGCUCGAUGAGUAGGGCGGGACACGUGGUAUCCUGUCUGAAUAUGGGGGGACCAUCCUCCAAGGCUAAAUACUCCUGACUGACCGAUAGUGAACCAGUACCGUGAGGGAAAGGCGAAAAGAACCCCGGCGAGGGGAGUGAAAAAGAACCUGAAACCGUGUACGUACAAGCAGUGGGAGCCCCACCACUAAGCCAGUGGUGAACUCCACAUACGCAUCCUUUGCUGAGGAUACGGUUAACGGAGCGAAAGCGACGUUCAACCUCAAAAGAAGCAGAGGGGGCUUAGUGGUGGGGUGACUGCGUACCUUUUGUAUAAUGGGUCAGCGACUUAUAUUCUGUAGCAAGGUUAACCGAAUAGGGGAGCCG